rfam:Bombyx mori DNA, contig: Bm_scaf39_contig22826, strain: p50T/Dazao, build 2, whole genome shotgun sequence.
CUAACUCAAAAUCUGUAUGGAGUUGGAACGUUUGCCUACGUUUGCCGCUAGGGGCGCUGUUCCAACUGUAUACAAAUUUGAGUUA